rnacentral:tRNA from 1 species
GCCCACGUAGCUCAGUAGGUAGAGCACUACCUUGGUAAGGUAGAGGUCUCCGGUUCAAGUCCGGUCGUGGGCUCCA